CUCCCUCGUUGCUGAUCUCAGGUUUGAUAAUGCCAAUAUCGCACCACCUCGCCUAAAACCAACUUCGAUGAAGCGACGGGCGGUGUGUG
rnacentral:rRNA from 1 species